CUUGGACUCUUUUUCAAAUAACCAAGAGAUAAGUUGUUUCUAGCUUCAAAACUCGUGGAUAAUGGGCCGGGCUCUCUACCCUUCUCCAUUUAAAUACCAGAUUUGGUUCACAAUAGAGUUUGAACUGACUUAUGCUUACCACAAAUACCAGAUCGUACUACCUUUCCAUUAAACCAAAGCACUGGAGGAGAACUCAUCAGAUUCAACUGGAACAUAAUAUGAUUUUAAUGUUAGUGUGCAUUUUAGUAAUACACAGUAAACUAAAGAGAACCCAAACAAAGGAACAUCAAGCGG
rnacentral:lncRNA from 1 species